rnacentral:rRNA from 1 species
UGAUCCUGGCUCAGGACGAACGCUGGCGGCGUGCUUAACACAUGCAAGUCGAGCGGAGAUGCAUUUAUGUAAUCUUAGCGGCGGACGGGUGAGUAACGCGUAGGCAACCUGCCUUGCACAGAGGGAUAACACCAGGGAAACUGGUGCUAAUACCACAUGAUAUCAUAACAAGGCAUCUUGAAAUGAUCAAAGGAGAAAUCCGGUGCAAGAUGGGCCUGCGUCCGAUUAGUUAGUUGGUGAGGUAACGGCUCACCAAGGCGACGAUCGGUAGCCGAACUGAGAGGUUGAUCGGCCACAUUGGGACUGAGACACGGCCCAGACUCCUACGGGAGGCAGCAGUGGGGAAUAUUGCGCAAUGGGGGGAACCCUGACGCAGCAACGCCGCGUGAAGGAAGAAGGCCUUCGGGUUGUAAACUUUUUUGAUUGGGGAAGAAAAAAAUGACGGUACCCAAGGAACAAGCCACGGCUAACUACGUGCCAGCAGCCGCGGUAAUACGUAGGUGGCGAGCGUUGUCCGGAAUUACUGGGUGUAAAGGGCGUGUAGGCGGGAUUGUAAGUCAGAUGUGAAAUUCCAGGGCUUAACUCUGGAGGUGCAUCUGAAACUAUAAUUCUUGAGUGCUGGAGAGGAAAGCGGAAUUCCUAGUGUAGCGGUGAAAUGCGUAGAUAUUAGGAAGAACACCAGUGGCGAAGGCGGCUUUCUGGACAGUAACUGACGCUGAGGCGCGAAAGCGUGGGGAGCAAACCAGGAUUAGAUACCCUGGUAGUCCACGCUGUAAACGAUGGAUACUAGGUGUAGGAGGUAUCGACCCCUUCUGUGC